rnacentral:rRNA from 1 species
UACAGAGGGGGCAAGCGUUAUUCGGAAUUACUGGGCUUAAAGAGUUCGUAGGCGGCAUGAAAAGCAGGGUGUGAAAGCCCUCGGCUCAACCGAGGAAUUGCGCUCUGAACUGUCGUGCUUGAGGAACCUAGAGGUGAGCAGAACUGAUGGUGGAGCGGUGAAAUGCGUUGAUAUCAUCAGGAAUACCGGAGGCGAAGGCGGCUCACUGGGGGUUUUCUGACGCUGAGGAACGAAAGCCAGGGGAGCGAACGGG